UUCGUACCAAAACCUAGCUGCCCCACCCCUCUCUCUCUUCGUUCUUUGUCCAAAUUCACGAGACUCCAUUCCUGUUUCCUCUUUUUUUGCUCCAAAACACCACAAACCUCAUAACAACAGGUAAGGUCUCACCAUUUCCGGAAAUGCUUUCAAGGAGUAGCAAGUACUUUUGAUCUUUGACCAAAUCAUAAGCAGAUCCCCUCUGUCUGUUUCUGCUAUGGCCUCAACGUUCGAAUUCGAACGGCCAUUUUGACUUAAGAUUCAAACUCUACUCUAAAAAUCCCGCCCAAAAUCAUAAGAACCCUAGGUUCCGCUUAUAAAUAGUGGUGUUGGAGAAUAUUUAGGUUCAAGGUUCAGCCGCCACUCUACCCCUUGAACUUUACUAACUAUGAAAAGCCUUAGUCUCAUUUGCUUAACUUAAACAACAGAAACGUUUCAUUCCCUAAUCAAAACUUUCCUAUCCGAGAACUCUCUCAAACACGGCCUAGAAUCAAACACAGCUAAUUAGCCAUUGUUAUUCUCUUUUAAAACAUCUCUGUCUCUGUUGACUUUAAGCAAAGCAGAGAGUUUUGAGUUCGCCCGAUUCUAGUUCGAAUCUGUUCGUGACAAAAGAGUAGAUUCGAGGUCGACAUCCCCAGUCUCACUGCCCAACAACAGGUUCCUUCAUUUGCAGACGGUGAUGAUGAGAGUAAGGAUGAUACUUCUGAAGAAAGUGAUGAAGAAGAGCCUCAAAAGAAAAAAAAAAUCAAGAGUUUACGCAAGAGUUAUUGGGUUCCCGGAAACCCAUAUUCCAUGAUGCUCUACAUCCGCCCCUGCUCUAUGUGCCAAUACUUGCUUCAGUGAAAUACAACGAGGAAAAAGAAAAUCUCAAUAAUAUCAAAGUUCAAACACAAAGUUCAUUCGGAUUUUGAUCAGGAAGUAUGCUAAGAGGAAGAGGCACUAAAUGUAGUUGGGGAGGUCGUGGGGGCAUAACUAAUAAAGGCGGAGGAGGAUACCAACAACUACUGAAUAAUUCUCAAGCAGAUAUUAGUGAACUAUCAACCCCUACAUCUCAACAGGUAAGUUCAAACCAAUACAUCUAGUGUAAAGGUUGAAGACUUCAGAAGCGCCACGUAAAGACCCAAUGGAAGCUCAGGGAAGGCAUCUAUAACACCUUCAAUUGAGUUAACUGUACAUGGGUAUUGUUUAUACAAGUGAUGCUUACAAUGCUGAUUGAAUAUCAAAUUCCAUAAGGGCAUUCAUGCUGUUCACGAAAUUUCUUUUUGUUUGGGUCUUGCUAAUCCCGUAUCUUAACAAAAAAAGAAUCCAAACAAACAUUAUCUCUCCAGCACCAAUCAUCAAAGUACUUGCCGUCACCAAUGUUAUAAAUCGAGUUGCUGGCUCUUAUAUAAGUCAAAUAAGCACUCAGAAAGCAAUCCCACCAUUGAAGACUAACACAUAACAUGGAAAUUGUAGACAAACUUGGAAAGGAGUCGGACUUUAUUCAUAGAAAAAGAACUGCGAACCCAUUGAUCUUCGCCAAAGUGUAACAUGUCGUAGAAUACUUGCGGUUUUAAGCAUGGAGAUGGCGGUGAACAUAUCUCAGCAACUAGGUUGGUCAAUGUUUCCAGAUUUUUGAGGUCCGAAAGUAUAUAAGCACUAUUUAUAAGGUCUCAAAUAAAAUUAUAAGUACAAAAACCUAAAAACAAAAAAGUAUCAUUCAAUUCAUAUCAAAAGAGAUGUUACAUUUAGGAGGAUUAACACAAGUAUCGAAGAAGCCAAGCCGCACAUGGUCAUCGUUGCCAAUGAACACACCAUUUUCAACAUUACCGUAAAUGCAUUGAUGUCUGUGAAUACGAUGGAGUCGAAUUGUGACUUGCCUGAAAAUAAUCAAAUAAUGUGACAAAUAAUCUUGAAAUAAAUAAGGUAAUUCGAUAAGAAUACUUACUCCAAUAUCCUCAGAUCAAUCCCAAGUUGUUGAGCCUCCCACUUGUAUUUUUGCUUGUUAUUUAAUUAGGUUUUUAGGGAUGUGACUCUUUCAACAACCACUAUGACUUUACUGCCACCCGCAAUGACUUUACUGUCCCCCACAACUUCUAUCAAAGAGUGUAAGUGUGGUCUCAGGAUGAAUAGACAACGCAUUUGUUUUAAUUGAUUCAAAUAAUUCUGGGCAGCUUCCACACUAGGAUACAAUUGCGCACUCGCUUCCUCCUCAGAAUCUUUGUUUCUUCUUAAUAUGCAAUUGUUAAGUCAUGUGUUUUGAAAACCGACUAAGUCUUGGUAUAGGAGUAUCCACCAUAGAAAUCCUAACUGGAAUAUUUUUCACUUUCUCCAUGGUGGAAUAACUUAAAUUAUUUUGCUACACGCCAUGGUGGGCAAUAGAGAAAAAUAUUGCAGUUACGAUUUCUAUGGUGGAUACUUCUGAGGAGGAAGCGAGUGCGUAAUUGUAUCCUAGUAUGUAAACUGCUCAGAAUUAUUUGAAUCAAUUGAAACAAAUGCGUUGUCAGUUCAUCCUGAGACCACGCUUACACUCUUUGAUAGAAGUUGUGGGGGACAGUAAAGUCAUUGCGGGUGGCAGUAAAGUCAUAGUGGUUGUUGAAAGAGUCACAUCCCUAAAAACCUAAUUAAAUAACAAGCAAAAAUACAAGUGGGAGGCUCAACAACUUGGGAUUGAUCUGAGGAAAUUAUUGUAGUAAGUAUUCUUAUCGAAAUAACUUAUUUAUUUCAAGAUCGUUUGUCUCUUUAUUUGAUUAUUUUCUAAAAUAUUUUCAGGCAAGUCGCAAUUGGGCUCCAGCAUAUUCACUGCCAUCAAUGCAUUCAGGGUAAUGGUGUAUUCAUUGGCAACUAUGGCCACAUGCAACUUGGCUUCUUCGACAUUUGUGUUAAUCCAUCCUAAGUGUAAGAACUCUUUUGAUUUGAAUGAUACUUUUUUGUUUUUAGGUUUUUGUACUUAUAAUUUUAUUUGAGACUUUGUGAUAGUGCUGAGGGUAUACUUUCGGACCUCCGAAAUCUGGAAUUGACCAACCUCGUUGCUGAGAUAUGUUCACCGCCAUCUCCAUGCUUAGAACCGUAAGUAUUCUACGACAUGUUACAUUUUGGCGAAUAUCAAAGGGUUGACAGUUCUUUUUCUAUGGAUAAAGUCCGACUCCUUUCCAAGUUUGUCUACAAUUUCCAUGUUAUGUGGAAGCCUUACAAUGGUGGGAUUGCUUUCUGAGUGCUUAUUUGACUUAUAUAAGUUCCAACAACUCGAUUUAAGUAACAUUGGUGAUGAUUAGUGUUGGAGAGAUAAAGUUUGUUUGGAUUUCUUUUUUUGUUAAGAUACUGGAUCAGCAAGACCCAAACAAAAAGAAGUUUUGUGAACAGUAUGAAUGCCCUUAUGGAAUUCUGAUAUUCAGUCAGCAUUUCAAGUAUCACUUGUAUAAACAAUACCCAUGUAUAUUAACUCAAUUCAAGGUUUCAUGGGUCUUUACGUGGCGCUUCUGAAGUCUUCAAUCUUUACAUUAGAUGUAUGUGUCAACGACAAACGGUUGGGCGAAAAAUUCAAAAAGUUGAGCAUUCAUAAAAAAUAGCCGAUACGUUGAUAUUGGAAGAUAAUGAUCUCUCUGAAGAUGAAGAAUAGGAUCCUCUACUUGUUACGGGCUUGGUAAUUGAGGAACUUGAAAGCACAGUGUGAUUUUUGGUGUCUUUUCUGCCGGAGUGAAAUAUGAAAUUUGUUAGAUACUUGUUUACAGAUAUCUUGUGGGUCAGGAGUUGAUGAAAAACCUUUAGGAAGAUCUUCAGUCUUGUUCAAGAAACAUCUCUUGUAGUUGAUUUCAUAACUUUCAUAACUUUCAUUAGUUAGAACUUGCAUGCCCUUUUUUCAGGGGAAUUAUAUGAAAUUUAUGUUAUUGUAGAAGAUCAAAGUGGAAGUGUUUGAUACUGUCAAGAGUAAACUUUGUUAACGAAAAAGAAAAAGGCUUCAUGAUACUUUCUGUUGAGUUACUGGUUAUCAACAGAAAGAUGGUUGUCCUGGGGUGCCUCUCUUAC